rnacentral:rRNA from 1 species
UACGGGGGGAGCAAGCGUUGCUCGGAAUUACUGGGCGUAAAGGGCGCGUAGGCGGCGCUGCAAGUCAGGCGUGAAAUUCCUGGGCUUAACCUGGGGGCUGCGCUUGAGACUGUGGUGCUAGAGGAUGGAAGAGGCUCGUGGAAUUCCCCAGUGUAGAGGUGAAAUUCGUAGAUAUUGGGAAGAACACCGGUGGCGAAGGCGGCGAGCUGGUCCAUUACUGACGCUGAGGCGCGACAGCGUGGGGAGCAAACAGGG